rnacentral:rRNA from 1 species
CGUACACUCCUGCGGGAGGCAGCAGUGGGGAAUUUUACGCAAUGGGGGAAACCCUGACGUAGCGACACCGCGUGAGCGAAGAAGCCCUUUGGGGUGUAAAGCUCUGUCAGCUGGAACGAAAACAAUGACGGUACCAGCAGAGGAAGCAUCGGCUAACUACGUGCCAGCAGCCGCGGUAAGACGUAGGAUGCGAGCGUUGUCCGGAUUUAUUGGGCGUAAAGAGUUCGUAGGUGGUUUGUUAAGUUUGGUGUUAAAGAUCGGGGCUCAACCCUGGGACUGCACUGAAUACUGGCAGACUCGAGUGUGGUAGAGGCUAGUGGAAUUCCCAGUGUAGCGGUGAAAUGCGUAGAUAUUGGGAAGAACACCGGUGGCGUAGGCGACUAGCUGGGCCAUAACUGACGCUGAGGAACGAAAGCCAGGGGAGCGAAUGGGAUUAGAUACCCCGGUAGUCCCA